AAUUCUAUACACCGAAGUAAUUCAAAAAUGCAUUUCCCGCAGUGGGGCCUAAAGUCAGAAGAAGCAAUAGGCAGGUGGAAGGAUGCUUGUGUGUGAACUCCCACUUAAACUCGAAAGACAAACAUAUGUGAAAAAAAAGAAAAAUAUGUAAAAUUGUUGUCACUGUGUGACUUAUGGGGUUCGGUGUCUUCCGGAUCGGAGCCAAGUGGGCGAAGUGGCACUGACAAAAACAAGGACUAAUUUGUGCAACAAACUCGCUGCAAUCGAGCCGAGAAAUGUAAAUCAAAACUUGGCCGAGUAGCUUGCUAAUUAGAUUAAGACCAGGACCAAGAGUAAGAGCAAGCGAAAGACCAGAGCCAGGACCAAAAACCAACUGUAGCCGGAGCAGCAAAAAGCAGAGCAAGCUCAGUGUAACACAGUGCAACACAAGGAUGCAUUGCUGUUGACAAUUUGGCUGAAGCUUUUUGUUGCCGCAUGCAUAUUUUUGACUGGGCGCCAAGUGGCAAGAUUGUCGUCCUGCUGCGAGACGCAGGUCGCGGGCUUGUUGAUGCUGCUGUUGUCGCUGCUGCGCUUAAUUAUUUCCUUGGCCGGCAAUCAACAAUCAGCAUAAUUCUGACACGCCCACUUGGGGGCGUCUGGGUAAUGAAAAAUGAGCAAAGUUUCAGUCAGCGAUUUCGCAUCCAAAAAGUUCAAGGAGGAACUCAGCUAACAGUCUUGGCAAUGCGCCCGAGCAGGCGCAGCCGCCAUCGCCAUCUUAUUUCCAUUUGUGGGCGGCGGAUGAGCAGGCGUUGCAGCUGAUCCUUGUUCAUGGCUUGACAUCAUCAAUGCUCCACUUAAUCCAUUAAAUGGCAGCUAGCAGCCAAAUUGCCUCACAAUGUCACAUGUGCCAGAUAUCUGACAGAAUAAAGUCCAUAUAUCUGUAUACUGGCUGAACAGAGAGCAUCACACAGCCGUAAGAUCUUAUAAACAGAAGUUCUGUUUGACGAUGAGUUUUUGGAAUAUUCGACCAGCACUUUUGAAUGAAAAACAGCAGAAACAAUGCAGCUCUGUGAGUGGGCUUUGCAAACUGCGUGGCUAAGUACAUGCUCGCGUGCGUAGUACAUCUGUCUGCAGUUGGCGCGAAUCACACCAGCAAGAGAGGCCCAUGAGUAAAUUAUGAAAAAGUGAAUACAUGCGACGAGAUAGCGGAAUGAAUUUACCAGAUCAACAAAUAGAAAGGGUGAAGUGCACAGAGGCCGUAGAAUACAGCUCCUUUGAGAGCUUCUGUCUGCCGCAGGAAGGCAGCACCAACAAGAGAAAAGGUGACUAAAACUAACUACAACGCAAAAAGCGAGCCUGAAAAAAUAGUUAUUGCGAACUCGCACAGAUGCUGUGCUGUGCUGGCUAAACUAAUUGAAGAGAAGAGGCUGAUGAAAGUGCUUGUAACGAAAAUCAACUUUUGCUUGACGGAACGGUCACAAUGCAAGUGGCAAGAACGGUGGACGAACGAGAGCAUUGGACAAGGGACGGCAAGACUUGUAUCCAAUAUCAAAGGACAUGAAUAUGUUUGCCAUUACUUGAAUUCCAGAGGCAAGAUCACAAAGCUAUCUGCGGAUAUGGGCCCGGAUAUGCAAUUACAUUUGAUCAGCUUAAUGACAUAGCCAGAAUGAGCAAGAGCUGUGUUAAAAAUGACGCCGUUGCGAAUGAAAAUAUCGUGUCUUGCAUAUAUGCUUAUUUGCCGCUUUUAAUUUAGGCGUGGCUUCAAGCUUUCUCUUUUAAAAGUCAACGAAUGCAGUCGCAUUAGAUUGGAUUACAAAUUAUAAAGUUCAGUUUUUCACGUGGGCGUAAUAAGCCCACGCGGCGUGAGAAGCAGUAGACAUUCCCACCAUGCCAUCUAGUCAUAAAAAUAUCAUUUUCAUAAUUUUGUAUAACACAGAUUCCUUGUAUUCGAAGUCGGGUCGCCAAGUUAUGUUCUCACUUUGCUUCGUCCUAAUCCACAUCGCAUUUUCCAAUUGCUCUUGAGUAUAUGAAUAUAGAAAAUUUAUUUUGGCAAACUUAUAAGAGACUGCAGACU